rnacentral:lncRNA from 1 species
GAAAUUAUGAAUUACGCUAGGUUCUGGAAGCUAGGAGAUCAACUUUUGACGAAGGAGUUGGUGCAAAAUAUUUGAUAUUUUCUCAUUAUUGAGUUGUAGGCAACUAAAAUCGUGAAUGGAAUGCUAUUAAAAUUGGAAUGAAAUUGAAGUAUAGAGAUGUGGGUCUUAGAUAAACUUUUUCUACUAAUGUGUCCUAGAACAUAGUUAACUUGCAUUUUUCGAGGAAUUAAGUAGAGACAUCAACAAUUCUAGAUUCCUAUCUAAUUUAAAAUCAGAGUUACGAGUUCACUCUCCUUUCCAUGGAUACUUGUACAACCUUCCACUUGCAGCUGUUGAUGGUUUCUCAUGGAGGGAAAAGAAAAUUU